UACGGGGGGGGCAAGUGUUGUUCGGAAUUACUGGGCGUAAAGGGCUCGUAGGUGGCCCCAUAAGUCAGACGUGAAAUCCCUCGGCUCAACCGAGGAACUGCGUCUGAGACUGCGGGGCUUGAAUCCGGGAGAGGGAUGCGGAAUUCCAGGUGUAGCGGUGAAAUGCGUAGAUAUCUGGAGGAACACCGGUGGCGAAGGCGGCAUCCUGGACCGGUAUUGACACUGAGGAGCGAAAGCCAGGGGAGCGAACAGG
rnacentral:rRNA from 1 species